rnacentral:rRNA from 1 species
UACGUAGGGUGCGAGCGUUGUCCGGAAUUAUUGGGCGUAAAGGGCUCGUAGGCGGUUUGUCGCGUCGGGAGUGAAAACCCAGGGCUUAACUCAGGGCUUGCUUUCGAUACGGGCAGACUAGAGGUAUGCAGGGGAGAACGGAAUUCCUGGUGUAGCGGUGAAAUGCGCAGAUAUCAGGAGGAACACCGGUGGCGAAGACGGUUCUCUGGGCAUGAUCUGACGCUGAGGAGCGAAAGUGUGGGGAGCGAACAGG